CCGAGUUUACAACUCCCAAACCCCCGUGAACAUACCACUUGUUGCCUCGGCGGAUCAGCCCGCUCCCGGUAAAACGGGACGGCCCGCCAGAGGACCCCUAAACUCUGUUUCUAUAUGUAACUUCUGAGUAAAACCAUAAAUAAAUC
rnacentral:misc_RNA from 1 species